rnacentral:rRNA from 1 species
GAUCCUGCCGGACCCCACUGCUAUCGGGAUAGGACUAAGGCAUGCUAGUUCGCGUCUCCCAGCCACGGAAGAGACGCAGCGAACGGCUCAGUAACACGUGGUCAACCUACCCUUUGGACGGAGAUAACCCCGGGAAACUGGGGACAACAACCGAUAGGUGAGAAGACCUGGAACGGUUUCUCGCCUAAAAGACGCCGGGACCAUGCUUCCUGCGUCGCCUAAGGAUGGGGCUGCGACCGAUCAGGUAGUUGGCGAGGUAACGGCUCACCAAGCCUAUAACCGGUACGGGCCGUGAAAGCGGGAGCCCGGAGAUGGGUACUGAGACAAGGACCCAGGCCCUACGGGGCGCAGCAGCUACGAAAACUCUGAAAUGUGCGAAAGCGCGACAGGGCUAUCCCGAGUGCCGUCCGCUGAGGAUGGCUUUUCUCUGGUGUAAUGAGCCGGAGGAAUAAGGGGAGGGCAAGUUUCUGGUGUCAGCCGCCGCGGUAAUACCAGCUCCCCGAGUGGUGAGGACUAUUAUUUGGCCUAAAGCGUCCGUAGCUGGUUCAGCAAGUCUCUUGUUAAAUCCAACGAUUCAAUCGCUGGACAGCGGGAGAUACUGCAGGACUAGGAGGCGGAAGAAGCCGACGGUACUCGUGGGGUAGGGGUAAAAUCCUAUAAUCCCAGGAGGACCACCAGUGGCGAAGGCGGUCGGCUAGAACGCGCUCGACGGUGAGGGACGAAAGCUGGGGGAGCGAUCCGGAUUAGAUACCCGGGUAGUCCCAGCUGUAAACUAUGCAGGCUAGGUGUUAUCGUGACUACGCGUUACGAUAGUGCCGCAGGGAAGCCGUUAAGCCUGCCGCCUGGGAAGUACGGUCGCAAGACUGAAACUUAAAGGAAUUGGCGGGGGAGCACCACAAGGGGUGAAGCUUGCGGUUCAAUUGGAGUCAACGCCGGG